GUAGUACUAAGAGGAAAUUGUGGCGGAGUGACUGUGAUGGGGCGGAACCAAAAAUGAGGAAGAUUAGUUCCGCCCGGACCAUAUAUCGCAAACACCGCCACUUCCGGGAAAGCCGGCGAACACAAAUCGGCGUGCUAUUGGGAACGGGUGUCUUGUUGAGCGUGGCGAUCACUGAUUGGGCAAUUUGGUGAAGAGGAGACACAUAAAUAGGGCACACAGGAAGGGCCUGGUGAUUCCCAGUAGUUACUGUGGGCGCAACGGAGCGGAGGAGAGAGUUGGAGAGAGAGUGUAUGGUGUACUGCGGAGCUUGGGCAAAGAGAGAUACACAUACAGGGCUGAGUAUACGAAUAUCUUUAUUGGAGCAUUGUGUUCAGAUGCAUUGUGUGAUGUGAAGUUAACACACAUUGAAGAUCUGCUAGGAUUGCAGGAAGGAGAUCGUGCUGCCAGUUGUGUCGGAUGUUAUCUGGAAGAGAAGUGGAGAGAUCCAGUGUUAAUGAAAGUCAACAGUUAUUUUGCAAGUGUGGAAUAUCCAUAUAUCCCUUGUGAGUUGUGA
rnacentral:lncRNA from 1 species